rnacentral:rRNA from 1 species
AACGAACGCUGGCGGCAGGCCUAACACAUGCAAGUCGAACGCCCUAGCAAUAGGGAGUGGCGCACGGGUGCGUAACGCGUGGGAAUAUGCCCUUGACUGCGGAACAACGUCGGGAAACUGACGCUAAUACCGCAUAAUGUCUUCGGACCAAAGAUUUAUCGGUCAAGGAUUAGCCCGCGUCUGAUUAGCUAGUUGGUGAGGUAACGGCUCACCAAAGCGACGAUCAGUAGGGGGUCUGAGAGGAUGAUCCCCCACACUGGGACUGAGACACGGCCCAGACUCCUACGGGAGGCAGCAGUGAGGAAUAUUGGACAAUGGGCGCAAGCCUGAUCCAGCCAUGCCGCGUGAGUGACGAAGGCCUUCGGGAUGUAAAGCUCUUUCAGAUGCGAAGAUGAUGACGGUAACAUCAGAAGAAGCCCCGGCUAAAUUCGUGCCAGCAGCCGCCGUAA